rnacentral:rRNA from 1 species
GACGAACGCUGGCGGCGUGCUUAACACAUGCAAGUCGAACGGAAAGGCCCUGCUUUUGUGGGGUGCUCGAGUGGCGAACGGGUGAGUAACACGUGAGUAACCUGCCCUUGACUUUGGGAUAACUUCAGGAAACUGGGGCUAAUACCGGAUAGGAGCUCCUGCUGCAUGGUGGGGGUUGGAAAGUUUCGGCGGUUGGGGAUGGACUCGCGGCUUAUCAGCUUGUUGGUGGGGUAGUGGCUUACCAAGGCUUUGACGGGUAGCCGGCCUGAGAGGGUGACCGGCCACAUUGGGACUGAGAUACGGCCCAGACUCCUACGGGAGGCAGCAGUGGGGAAUAUUGCACAAUGGGCGGAACCCUGAUGCAGCAACGCCGCGUGCGGGAUGACGGCCUUCGGGUUGUAAACCGCUUUCGCCUGUGACGAAGCGUGAGUGACGGUAAUGGGUAAAGAAGCACCGGCUAACUACGUG